UUGGGUCAAUAAUGAGAAUUCAUAUGGUCACGAACAGAGAUGAUGACUUAAAAAUUAUGCUCAAUAGGAUUCUGCAGAAGCCCAAUGGAGGCCAUUGCACUGAGGUACGAUCCUGGAGAAUCCUGUAGCUCUGGAUUACCACUGGACCCAGGGGCUCGAGGUGACAAAUCCCUCCAGGUUACCGAGCGGGUUCUUCUUGGUCUAUGGACCUCCACAUGCCUAAGACCUGCUCUGGCCCUGGGGUGUUGUGUGUCCAUCACUAGUGCUUCUCGACUCAUCCCUGGGAACCCAACUAAGCUCCCUCGGCAUCCUUGUGUCUUUCAGUGGGACGUCGCUUUGUGACCACUUUCUCGUCAUUGACCCCACCAUGGGAGGAGAGUGGAUGCCUGUAUCCCACACCCCGACCAAGAUCCCACCUGGCGCAUGGAGGGGAAUUUGGCCAAUCAUCUGGAACAGACCCCAAGCCAGGGGCUCUCAUGGCCACCAAAGACAUCACAUUCCAUUUCUGUGGGACGUCAUCUUGGCGACCAGGGUCUCACCAUUGAGCCCACCAUGGGAGGAAAGUGGAUGCCUGUGUGA